AGAGUUUGAUCCUGGCUCAGAACGAACGCUGGCGGCGUGCUUAWCACAUGCAAGUCGAACGUGAUUGAGAGCUUGCUCUCAUGAAAGUGGCGCACGGGUGAGUAACACGUGGAUAAUCUGCCUGGCGAUUCGGGAUAACACUUCGAAAGGGGUGCUAAUACCGGAUAAGCCCACAGUCUCUUCGGAGRGUGCGGGAAAAGGGGGCCUCUGUAUAUGCUCCUGUCGCUAGAUGAGUCCGCGGCCCAUUAGCUAGUUGGUAGGGUAAUGGCCUACCAAGGCKACGAUGGGUAGCUGGUCUGAGAGGAUGAUCAGCCACACUGGAACUGAGACACGGUCCAGACUCCUACGGGAGGCAGCAGUGRGGAAUYUUGCGCAAUGGGSGAAASCCUGACGCAGCAACGCCGCGUGAGUGAKGAAGGYCUUCGGRUCGUAAAGCUCUGUCGGAUGGAAAGAACCGCAUAGGGGUAAAYAGCYCCURUGUCUGACGGUACCAUCAAAGGAAGCACCGGCUAACUCCGUGCCAGCAGCCGCGGUAAUACGGGGGGUGCAAGCGUUGUUCGGAAUUAUUGGGCGUAAAGAGCGUGUAGGCGGCCKGAURUGUCAGAUGUGAAAGCCCUGGGCUUAACCCAGGAAGUGCAUUUGAAACUGUCMGGCUUGAGUAGGGGAGAGGGAAGUGGAAUUCCUGGUGUAGAGGUGAAAUUCGUAGAUAUCAGGAGGAACACCGGUGGCGAAGGCGACUUCCUGGCCCUAUACUGACGCUGAGACGCGAGAGCGUGGGUAGCAAACAGGAUUAGAUACCCUGGUAGUCC
rnacentral:rRNA from 1 species